AAAUGAAUAGACGGGGACCCGCACAAGCGGUGGAACAUGUGGUUUAAUUCGACGACAAGCGAAGAACCUUACCAGGACUUGACAUCUCCGGAAUCCCCCAGAAAUGGGAGAGUGCCGCAAGGAACCGGAUGACAGGUGCUGCACGGUCGUCGUCAGCUCGUGCUGUGAAGUGUCCCGUUAAGUCGGUGAACGAGCGCAACCCCUAUUGUAUGUUAAAUAUCUCAUACGAGACUGCCGGCGUUAAGUCGGAGGAAGGUGGGGAUGACGUCAGAUCAGCGUGGCUCUUACGUCCUGGGCCACACACGUGUUACAAUGGGUAGCAACAAAGGGUCGCUAAGCUGUAAAGCGGAGCUAAUCCUAUCAAACCUACCCCCAGUUCGGAUUGAGGGCUGCAACUCGCCCUCAUGAAGCCGGAAUCGCUAGUAAUCGUGGGUCAGCCAUACCACGGUGAAUACGUUCUCGGGUCUUGUACACACCGCCCGU
rnacentral:rRNA from 1 species